rnacentral:misc_RNA from 1 species
GCAAACUACUUAGGCGGAGUUUGUCAUAGAAACUUCAAGACCACUAAAUAUUUUUUCAACAACUGUGGUUUUCCAAAAAUCAGCAUUUUGGCCUCCCAACCACAAUCCCAAAUGGAGCCUCAAGUGAGAUAAACUUUUUCUUGGAGGAAAAAAGAAAAAGAAAAAAGGAAGUUUCAAACAAAUGAAUUCUUUUGUUUCUGCAUGCCAUAUUGUAAUGCAAUAAUUUCUAUUUUGCACUGAUUGAAAUAACCGAACUGGAUCCAACUGAUUCCAUGCAAUAAUGCUCAAUUUUUUAUUCCCCUUCAAAUGUGGCAGCUAAUGUAGAAUAUAUUUUAUAAAGGAGUGAAAAAUAUCUCAUAUAACAUUGUUGUGCCAUGGCUUUGAAUCAAGUGCAAUUCUCUGAGCGUUCACACUCCCCAAAUCAUCAUGUAAUUGAUUGUCUCUCUUUGCAAUUUCAUCUAUACCUCUUUUUGUUGGGAUAUGCCCAUAAGUUUUGCUUGCAGGGGAGAACCAUUGAUCACCUUUGCUCCACUUGAAUAUUUUUGUACUGAAGUGGAGAAUCAAAUCCCAAACUAUCACCUCUUACUCUGCCAACUUCUUAAAUAUAUUGUUCUGCAUGCUUCUUAUUGAACUAACUGAACCCAAUUAGAGUAUCUGAAUUUCACAUUUUGGACUUAUAAUUUUUUUGUUUUUUCAUCAAUGAUCUUAGAUUGCACAAAUGGCUUUUCUUACUGCACUUACUUAUCUUAAGAUAAGAAUUUACUUGCAUAGGUUUGUCCGUUGAAACCCUUAAUUCUUAGUU